rnacentral:lncRNA from 1 species
UGUUUGACUUCUUUGAAAUAAAGAUAAAUGGACUGUCUUCUAAGUUUGAAGAAUAUGAGCUUAAUGAAUCUCAUUAUAUCUCUUGUCCAUUGUAAAUUCUGACCCUGAGUUUCAUUAAUUUCACAUCUCAUCUUAAUUAAGCUGUAACUUUUCUAAUUCUUAGAUGAAGUUAAAAUUCUAUCUUUGCAAUUUCUAUGUUUUACAGGGGAAUUUGUACAAAUGAAAACCAGUAAACUAAUUUUAAUAAAACAGGACUUACUUGCGAAGUUUACCUUCUACUACCCAUUUAUCUCUCCUCAGGUUUGACAUAUAAUCAAUGUUCUUGUCAAUUUCACUGUCAAUGCAAAAAUCCAUUAGAAGACAUAAAUUAAUCAAUUAUGUGACACUUUGAUAAUUGGAUUUGGUAAUAAGCAAAUUGAUAGUUUUUCAGUUAGUAAAAAUAAUGAUUGCCUAUGAAUAGCAAAAAUAAUUGAAAAUUAUAUUAAUAUAUUAUCAUAGCUUAGAGACAUAGAGAAAACUUAAGAUGUCCAAUAAUAGUAGAAAUGCAUGGCUCCAAAAUAUUUUGAUUGAUCCUUUUCAUACAAAGGUAAAAGACUAAAACUAACAUAUUUAAAUCUGUAAAUAACAAAUAGCAAGAACAAGAUGAACAUGGAUUCAUUCACCAAAUCUUGAAAUACUAGAGUGGAGAACUUACUUUGACUGUUGAAUGAGGUUAAGUACUUUAAAAAAAAGCACAAAUAAAUUGAUAAACUAAAAUUAUUAAUAUUGAAUUAGCACAUAAUAAAAUAAAAAGUAGCCAGGUAAUUCUAGGAAUGCCUUACUAAGGAAAAUCAGGUAGUCAUCUAUGAUUGAAAGAUGUCAAAAAAAGAAAAAUUCUGGAUUCUUUCAUUGGUGCUGGAUUCUGGCACCACAGCAAAAAUAAAAAAGCAAAACAAAACAUUUUUACAUUUCCAUAUAUAAUUAACAAAAUUAUUAUAUAAACAAAAGACUAUAUUUAUAGUCUUUUAAAUAUAGUUUAAAAUAAAUAUAGUUUAUUAUAUAAACAAAGACUAUAUUCAGUAUGAUCCCAAUUUUUUAAUAGACUUCAAAGAAAUACAUUAAGAUAUUAUUAGCAGUAAUUAUCUCUGAAUGGUAAGAUUAACUGUAAUUGUUUUCUUUGUGUUACUCUGUAAUUUCAAACUUUCUGUAAAAAAAUUUGUAUUACUUUGUGAUUAGACAAACUCAAAACAGAAAAGAAUCACCAACAGAAAAGUCUGGGUAUAUGCUUACCUCACCACACUCUUACUGCAUGCCAGUUCAUUGAUCAGGAAAGCCAAGACUGAGGCUUUCUGUGCUGGAGUAUGAGCCUGAAAAGCUUUGGUUUUCAGGCUUUCCGUAAGCUCAGUUUGUCCACAAUGGGCUUCCAUAAAAAUCUGCAAGAUCUCGGAAACAUUGUCUCGGUUCACACCAACAUUCAGCAAAUGUUCUCCAAGAGCUGUUUUGGCCUAUAAAAGUUUGGCAUUUUUAUCAGUAUUGAUCGUAGCCAUUCGUAACAUAAAAACAGUAAGAUUUAAAAAUAUCGAUAUCACAUGAUAUAGAUAUUACUGACAAGGACUUUAUUCACAUUCGAUCAGUAGCUCUGUGGGGAGUAGGUUCCAGAGCACUAGUACUGUGGUGUCACGGGUUCUACUGCCUGCUAUACUGAAUGGAUAGGGAAAUGGAGGAGUAAUUAACAGGCACAUCUGGGAGCUUCUCACUGUACAACAUAUCAAAUGUGUAUCUUAGUUGAAAUUAAGAUAAAUUUUAAUGUAUUGGGUAUCCACUGAGCACUACAGAGUUUUCAUGUGCUGGUCUGUAGAUGCUUUGAUUAGCCUGAGUUAUUCACAGUGAUUCAGAGAGAAUACAGUAUAGUUUUGGAAAGCACGCAUAAGUUCUAAUUGCUUUAUGAAUUAUGAAUCCUGUUUUGUUUAAUAUCACAUGGGUAUUUCCUUAAGUCAACUUGGUUUUUGCUGUCAGCUAGAGAAAAAGAGGAAUUUGGGAAUGAUCUAUAUUCCUUAGGUUCUGUGAAUCAGAUUUUUCUAGGUUUGUACCAAUUUAACCUGAAGCAAAUCUACAUUUAACUCGGUGAGACAUGUGGAAAAAAACUGGAUCAGUCUAUACAACCUUCUGCUAAUAUGCUAACACCAGCUAACAAUUCACGGAUAGUACAAAUUUUAAAAAAAUUUAUAUUUUGUUUUUUUUUACCUUGUAUCCUGUAAUUAGACCUGGAUCACAUACAGCAGCUGAGAGGAGCCUCACAAGCAAGUCUUGUACUUCACCCAUGCUGUCCCCUAUAUUUAGCAAUCCCUCUUGAAGAACACUCAGGUUUGGAACAUCAAUAUUCACAUCAAAGCCCAAAACUUUACCAAAGUUUCGUAAGAACUGCACCACCAUGAGACAGUCUGAAAAUGUACUUCCAGAGAGAACAAGUCCUGGAAUACGAGGCAAAUCUGGCAAAGGCUGAAAAUAAAAUAAAAUAAAAUAAAUAAUAAAUAAUUUAAAAGCCAUGGUUUUAUAUCUUCUGAGGUAAAACAGGUUGCUAUCUUUCUUUUUCCUGUAUUAUACCAUUGAUUUUCCCUCUGGAUUUUAAAUCCCCUGGGGGCAUUUCUACAACCCCAUGGUAUUAAGUAUAGAUAGGUUCUUGACUGCAAGUAACCAACAAUAAAUUUUGGUUGAACUCAACAUGAACUUAGAUUUCUGCAAAAGAGAACACUAACUUUAAUUAACUUACAUAUUUAUAAAACAUAGUUUAUAUAGCUGGAGGAAAAAUUAGAUAACAUAAGGAACAAUUUGGGGGUGCCUGGGUGGCUCAGUCGGUUAAGCAACUUACUCUUGAUCAUGGCUUAGGUCAUGAUCUCAUGAUUCAUGGGUUUGAGCCCUGCAUCAGGCUCUGUGCUGAAAGCAUUGAGCCUACCUGGGAUUCUCUCUCUCUCUCUGCACCCCCUCCCCCCACUUGCUCUCUUUCUCUCUCAGAACAAAUAAAAAUAAACUUAAAAAAAAAAGAAACAUUUAAUUCAGAGACUUUUUUCUUGAACCUUAUCAUACACACACAUUUCCAUAUGAUUCUAAAAAUGUAUAUGACAAAGCUAACAAAAGUAAGGCUUAAAAUGAACAUAUAUUUGAUACAGUGCAUAUGGAUUUAAAUAAAAAGAAAGAUGCAGAAAGAUAAAGCUCAUUUGAUGUUAAAAAAUAUUUACUCACUAUGAAGCUUAUUAAAUCUGUUAACUACUGUAUAUUCCCAUUCUGGGCUUAGGAAAUUUUCAACAGCCAACUGAGUAAACCUAGUAUGUAUACUUUCACUUUUAUUUACAAGCAUUUAUGCUAAGUAAAUAAAUAGAAUAUUAAUACAAUUAAAUCCUCACUAGAGUGUUAAAAGUUUGCUUUAAGCACUUUAUUUUGUUUUUGUUUUUAGUUUUUUUUUUUAUAUUUAUUUAUCUUUGAGAGAGAGACACAGUGCUAGUGGAGGACAGGCAGAGAGAGAGGGAGGCACAGAAUCCAAAGCAGGCUCCAGGCUCUGAGCUGUCAGCACAGGGGCCAAACUCAUGAACCGUGAGAUCAUGACCUGAGCCAAAGUCAGUCACUUAACUGACUAAGGCACCCAGGCGCCCCACUUUAAGCACUUGAGAAGAGAGCCUGCACAAAUCAAGAGACAAUCAUUAUUUGUAUAUCAGAUGACUAUGGCAUAUAAGUAAAUAUAGAUGCUAUUGAUCAAGUAUAAUAGUAUUAAGAUAAUAUUGUAGAGAUGAUAUGCAGUAUCGAUAUAAUUCUCUAGAAAUACCAUCUUCUUAGCUAUAGUCAAACAAAAUGGAUCUCUAUUCAUAAACAUGUGAAAUCAUGCCCGAUACCAAGAUUAUUUUGCUCUUUCCACAUGUUUACUUAUAUAUGUUUACUUUAUUAUAUAUAUAUGAAUAUAUUUUAGCCACAUUACAUGUCUGUGAAGCAUGAUAGAGGAGAAAACACAUAUGAGGUAUUUUGGCUGGAUAUACUUCCUGGCUUUCAGUGUAAUAAACAGUAUGAACUCUGGAAUUGAACAAACUAGAGACUGAAUCCAAGUUGCCAUUUAUUAGCAAGUUUGAUCUUGGGCAAGUUCCUUAACCUCUUUGUGUCUCAGUUUUCCCAUCUGUAAAUGGCCAUAAUAAAUACCAGUUCCACAGGACUAUGGUGAGGAUUAAAUGAGAGAAUUUAUAAAGCACUUAGCACACUGCCUGGCAUGUAGCAAACAUACUCAAAAGUUAGCUAUAAUUACUAAAGCAUUGAAGGAGAUUAUAGAUUAUAAACCUUAGUUUAUGUAAAUAUCUAUAGGGGCGUGGUGAGGAGUUAGAGAUUUCUGUACCUAAAUGCCUGGAAAGAAUCAAAUGACACAUAGAAAUCCUAUCUACUUCUAUAAUUCAUCUUUACGGAUUUCUUCAGUAUUUCUACUUAAAUUUAAAAAGGUUUAGGGGAGCCUGGGUGACUCGGUGGGUUAAGUGUCCAAUUCUUGGUUUGGGAUCAGGUCAUGAUCUCAUGGUUUGUGAGUUCAAGCCCACCUCAGGGAUUCUCUCUCUCCGUUUCUCUGCCCCUCCCUGGUGCAUGCUCUCUCUCUCUCUCUCUCAAAAUACAUAAACCUACAAAAAUAGAAAUAAAAAGAUUUACAGUGUUCCAUUUACGUACUAAGAAGUACCAUUAUUAGCAUAGGAGCUCUAGAGAGGUUUAUUGGUGGCCAUCCAGGAAACACAGAUUGACCUAGACAUGGAAAUGUACGGCUCUGGUUAAAAACAAAAGGCUUUCAUAAUGGCAACUCUGGCAAAGGAAUCAGGUGAGAUACAGAAAAAUUAAAUUUAUUAAUGAAAUGGUUACAUAAUAAAUUACCUUUUGGUCUGCUAAGCACAUGUCUUCAUUAGGCUUCUUUAGUUCCUUUGCCAUUUCUAAUUCUAAUCUUCGUUGCUCCAGUUUACGCUCUUUAUUUAAUCUUUUCUCAUCACGUUUUUCUUGCUUCAGCCGUUCUUUUUCCUUAAAAAUAAAACCAUGUCCAAAAGUCUCUUUAAUCACUGGAUGUGUCUGAAAAAUCUCCAGUUAACAUUUAAAAAGUUAACAAAGUGUUAUUAUUUCCACAAACAGAAUUCCCCUAAGAGAUUUAGGAAUAGACUUUGAACUACAUAGAAACAAUGACUUAUUUUGCUUUUUAGUGUUUUCACCCUUUGAAUUUCAAAUAGUCUUAUGACUGUGUGUGUGUGUGUGUGUGUGUGUGUGUGUGUGUUUAUAUUAUCGAUACUAGUUUAACUCAGAUUAUUCCAUUAUUCAGAAUUUAUUCAAUCCUUCCCCAGGUUACAAUAAGAGAAUGAAAUACUUAUUAAUAAGAGCAGAUAUAUAAAAUGCACAUGGCUAAAUAAAUAAAAAAAUAUGGUUAGUUAGUAUUAAUACAAGUUUUUGUGUAGCUCUAGGAAGCAAGGGAGGAUUUACAGCAUGAAAGCAGAAGCAACAUGCUUGAAUUGCAAAAGCAGUUCUUUCAAAGUGCAUUAGCUAGUCUUAAGAUAGCACCUGUAACAAAAUCAAAAUAUUAUUUGCCACUAUAAACAACACUUAAGGGAAUGUAAAAUGGAUUCUGAAGGCAAUGCCAAAAGCAUUCAAAAAAUAUUUUCAGUAAUGACAAUAAUAUGGAAAUAACUGUCCUGUCUCCCUGUUGUAGGAGAUGACACUCUGCUGGAAGAAGAAGUCACGAUAUUUUCUUUAAUAGUAUUAGUGUCAUUAUUUUAUUGCCAUGCCUCAAAUACAAUUCUUAUUUAGAGGAGAAAUAACAGUAGAAUCAUCAGGCGGUUCUAACCUACUACCUCACACAUUUGACACAUUAAUGAUGGGUUUACUUUUGUAAAGCAGGUCCUGUCUCUUUCUUGAUUAAAAAUCUUUCAAUUUUGUUUUUAAUUUUUAACAAAAUAAAGUCCAACUCUUUACUUUUGGCGCCCCUCUUUACUUUUGAAUUAAAACUCUUCUUUUUCAAUCUUAUCUCCCAUUUUUGUAGUUUAUGUGGAUUUAGUCCAACUAUUUGCUAUUCCUGAUGAACAUCUUGUUUCCUUACCUUCUUAUAUUGGUGCGCUCCAAUCAGGAAGGUCAUUACUCCCACCUAGUGGAUCUGAAUCCUAGUUAAACACUACCACCUCUUCUCUAUUAUCAAUUUAUCUUAAUUCUCAUAGCCCAACCUAUAAUUUUAACAUUGCACUUAUUGCUUCUUAUUCUAUAGUAGCAUUUUUGCCCAUAUUCUAGCUAUCUCUGUUUCCAUUAUCAUGGCUAAGACAGCACAUUGAGUGCUAUGCCACAAGGAAUAGGGGUAGGUGGGGGACAGAGAGGACUGGAGAGGAUAUAUUCCAGGCAGAGUAGAGAAAGCACAGUGUGUCUGAGAAAUUGCUAGUAGUUUCCAGGGUGGAGUGUAGGUUGCAGGUUGAACAGGUGCUGAGUAUCAUGAUACAGAGCCAGAGGCUGGGUCAUGAGAGCCUUUUUAUAUGAUAUGCUCACGUCACUGCUCAUUUUUAUACUGCCUCUAAAUUUCUGGGUUACUGGUUCAAGCAGGCAUUUGGAAGGAAAAUGUUAAGGAAGCUACUCUGUGAGAUUAUUGACACCAAAAAAGCACUACAACUAAUCUUAUUGAUUAUAACUAAAAGUUUCUGAGGCUCUAAUGACAUAAAAUAUACACAAUUAACAUGCAACAUUCCCACAAUGCAGUAUAGAUUUUUCAAAUCAAAUUAUCAUUGGUAGAACAAUUUUUUCCCAGAGUUGGAUUUUCAAUUUAUAAACGCAUGAAAUGUUGCUCUAAGAAUUUUUCCAGGGAAGGGAAAACUUUUUGGUCACUCAACAGAAUAAUGAAUUAUAAUCACCAACAGAAAAAACAAAUGUCUCAUAGAUUUCAAAGUGGCUGGUGUAAAAUUUUCUACUAUAUAGGACUAACCCAGAAUUCUAAUCAUUAAGAAUCUUAAUGAUGUUCAUAACAGUAAUUACAAAACUAAAAAUUGAGACUAAAAUUCACUAAAAACUGUUGAAAAUGGUCACCAUUUCUUUUCAAAAAGAGAGAAAGGGCAUGUGUGACACUAAUGCUCUCUUUGUUGUGCCAACUUCACAUUGGUGGCAAUCUGGGGGUAUGUAACACUUCAAUGAUACAUCAACAAUGAGUUAAAGCACAUUUCCUGUCAUGAGGUAAAUAUGCUUGACAUUCUUGAAUACCAGUUUUAGCUAGUGAUAGGCAGUAUUUUUUCCAGUUAAAAGCAUGGCUAUAAUAUGGAAUAGAGAGUAAAAUGACAUCAAUUUUUAAGAUAAAACAGAGCUUUCCAAGAAAUCUUAGAAAUUUGUAGGACCUUUAUUACUUAAAGACAGGUAUCCAUUCUUAUCUUGAAGUAUUAGGGAUACUUCUCAGGAAAGAUGAAGUUUCUAAAUGCAAUGAAUUUGGUGAAUUUACUCAUUAAUUUAUUUAAUGAACCUUAAUGAACUGUAUAAGACUAAUAUAAAUCCUGUGGUUCAGAUACAAGAUAACUUUCAAAGAACUAGAGCUUCUGGGUCCCCUCAACAAUCAACUAAUAUUUAAAAUGGUUUAUAAAGACAGUCACGAUCUAGUCCCACACAAGUUUUGGUCUCCUAUGUCAUGAUUCCCAGUUCAUUUCCCAUGCUCUGGUUACAUUGUGUGAUACACCUGUGUUGAGAAGAUAAUGUAACCAGAUUGAGGCAUUGUUUGGAGGAGGAGGAGGGGGAGGAUGAUGAUGAUGAAGAAAAAGGACAAGGAGGAGGACAGGGAGGAGGGGGAGAAGUAAAGAGAAGAGGAGGAGAAGGAGAAGAAGGAGAAAAGCAACAAAGCCAAGGUAGGUGCAUACAUAUGGUGAAAACUAACUCCCUCUUUGCACCUUCCUCCUCUCUGCCCCACAGGUCAUUUUGAGUUACAACACUGUACCUUUGUAUACGCCAUCUCCUCUGCCUGUAAUAUAGAACUUCUCUUCCUUAACACAGAAAUAAAGCCUGGUUUUUAUUCUCCUCAUAACUACUUCAGGCAUUUUAAUAUUUCUCUUUUGGGGGGCUCCCAUAUAACUUAGCAUUUAUUGCACUGUGUGACAAUUACUUGUCUAAAGUUGAUCUUUUCCGCUUUAGUGUAAGCUUCUAGAGGUCAGAGGAACAAACUUAUUCACCUAUUUCUUUAUGGACCUAUUCAGUUCCCAGGAGUACAAUCUACCAGACACUUCAAUGAAGUUUUUAAUGAUUUUAUCUUUCUCCCGAUCAAGCCUGUAUGAGUUCAACUUUCCUCUCCCACUGGUCUCAAUAUUGUUCUUAUUUCCAUCUACAAUAGUUGUCAUAUGUCUUUAACAGAAAUAUUCAGUGUGCCUUAGCAAAUAAAAAUUAUUUAAACAUUGAUUAAUUUGCUGAAUGAUUAAUUCCACAAAUGCCAUAUAAAUAAUGAUGUUAACAUUUGUACUAGUCAUUAAACAUAUUCGAUAGUCAAUUUUUUCCUCUACUUUUUAUAUUUCAUUCUGUGGACAAACAUAAUUGAUGUCUUCUAUUUUCAAUUAUACACAAAAGCAGAUUUUAAUACAAAUUAAUAAUAUUCUACUUAUAUUUGCAAAUUUCAAAAUAUCUAAGACAUAUUUCCCACAUCUACUACAAAAUUAUUAAUUUCUUAAUCAUUUUAAUUGCAUACAUUAUGAUUGGAUGUGCUUGCAAAUACACCUUCCCCAUAUCAAAAUUAAAUAGAUUUCUUAUUAUCUGAUACUUUUUUCCAGAAACUAAAGUUUAAAGGGGGUGUGCUAUUUUAGGCCAAAUUUAAAGAUGUUUAAACUUGUGUAGUAUUCUCUCUUCUAGAACUGAUAUACUGUUUGAAAGAGAAAUAUUUACCAAUUUUUCACCUAAGCCUUUUCAUGAUAUAAUAUUAUGUUUUGUUGCUAUGUCAAAUACUAGGAUUUCACAAUGGAACUUUCUGAUUUUGCAAGGACAUUUCUCAACAAACCAUUUGACCUAGCAGAGAAGACUUAAUACACCUAUCACAAUAUGAAAGGAAUGGUAAAACGUAUUUUACAUUAACAUUGGUUAGACUUUAGGGAAAUAACUGAGAUUGCCUACAAAUGACUAAAAAAUAUAGCUCCUGACUAUAUUUUAGAUUGACUGUCAAUGACGAUAAACAUUAGUAUGGUUUCUCUUAAUUUUUUUUGGCCUUCAUCCUCCUACCCCAUCUAGUUUUCUAGCUGUAGAAAUUCUUUUUUUUUUUUUUUAAUGUCUAUUUAUUUUUGAGAGAGAGACAGAGUGUGAGCAGGGGAGGGCCAGAGAGAGAGGGAGACACAGAAUCUGAAGCAGGCUUCAGGCACAGAACUUGAUGAGGGGCUUGAACUCACAAGCUGUGAGAUCUUGACCUGAGCCGUAGUCAGAUGCUUAACUGACUAGCCAGGUGCCCCUAGACGUAGACAUUCUUGAAGUAAAUGAAUUCUUGGAAUAUAAAUAAUGUAUAAUAAAAUAUUAAUUUGUUCAUCUUAUAGUAAUGGAAUUUUCUGUAUCAAAAUAUUACUGAUAUCUUAGUUAAGAAGUCCUUUAAAUUUCAUUUCAAAGUUGAAACACCUUUUCAUAGCAAACACAUUAAAUUUUGAUUAUCCUAAAUAGCCCAAAAUACAUAGGGUGAAAAUUUCAAAAUCAGUUUUUUACUCACAUAAAAAGAUUACUUUAUGGACUCUCAAGGCAUAAAUGACAGUAUUUACAGAAAUCUGUAGCACAACAAUAAAUGUAUGAAAUAAAUUUAUUCUAUUUUAGUAUUAUAGAAGUUUAAAAACCAAACAAGAAUGUGGUAGAAUGACCUGCUAUUGUAAACUUUUACAACUUAUCAGAUUGCAAAAUAGGACAUUUUUAAGAGACCAUGUUGCAAAGAUGCCUAUGUUUUUUGCAUUUUACGAUGCUACUGGGUCUCUUAGGUGUUUGUUCUGGGCAUAAUUGGGAGAAUACAUUUCUUUUGACAGCAACUUGCACUUAAGUUUCAAAGAUAUAAAUAUAAUUUAAGAGACACAGGUUUACCUCAGGGUGCAGGAAGAAUACAAGUAUAAAUAAGAUUAAUAAUAUAAGCCAUUUAUAGAAGACAGGUAUAAAGAUUAAAAAGAAUAUUGUUUUAUGGUAACAUGGAAUGUGAGUAGAACAAUCAGGGUAAUUUUUUUUUAAAGGGGACUAUUUUUACAUUUAAAAUAUUAUGAAAAUUAUGUUUAAGCAAAUGAAAAACUUAUGAAUCAUAUGACUGAAGAGACUCUUACAUUUUAUACUUUAAUAAUAAUUUUACUUUAUAUGUGUAAUAUAAUGAUAUUUAAAAAGAAUAAAACCUUCCAGUUAUUGUAUUUUCUCAAAAUCCACCACAGUAUUACAUAAAAGUCUGUACUUACUUUAGAUUAUGUAUCUACUGUAUAGAAUAGUUUCUGUUAUACAAAUGUCUCCUAAGUUAAAGUCAAAAUUGUUAAUAAUUCUUGAGUCAGAUAAUCAGAUUUUAAUAUAUCUAAAUUAAGUUGAUAAUAAUUUCUCAAAAAUUAAAUUUGUUAUAUGACAUUUAGUAUUUUAUUGUGCAGUUAACAUAAAAUCAUUUCACAUUUGUUUUUAGACUAAUUAACUUUAAAAUUAAAGUGCAUUAUAAGUACAUUGUAUAAGUACAAUAUACACUUACACCAUAUAUUUACAAUGUCUUCAACUGAAAAAUGGGUUUGCUUAAACAAACCCACCUGCAUAUACAAUUCUACUUUUUAUUUUCAUUUUUCACUAACUCAUGAUUAAUAUAAAUAUAGGAUUAUAAAAUAGUCUCAUGACUUGAAUCAUGGGUGGGAAGGGGGUAGGGAGGGGUUAUACAUUGUUUUCUGCUUUUAAAUUGUUUAUUAGGUAACUUCUGAAACCUGAACUAUUCUCUUCUAUUUUAUGGUUUUGUUUCUUAAAGUGCUGACACAGUCAUUCUGUGAUAGCUGUAUGUUUAACAACCUUUUGUAGUUUAUUGAUCCUUGGAGGGAGACAUACAAAAGACACUAAUAAUUACUAUGGUUGAUUAUUCAGUUAAUAUGAGUAAAAUAUUUAUAAAUUUGUGACUGGUAUAAUUUGAAGUUUUAAUAAAUGAAACAGGAGAUUUUGAGCUACUUUGUCACAUUGCUUAAAUCAACCUCUUUCUGGUGCUUAGUAAUAAUGAAAGCAGAUGGGUCUCAUAUGAUACUCGAAUUAUUCUAAGAAAUAAACCUUUUUCAUUCAUGAGACUAUUCUUUCUUACAUUUUCUUAUAAAAAUAUUUAUAAACUAUGAUGAUAUGCUCAUGACCCUUUAAAAUUAAUAAGAGAGUAAUAACAAGUAAGAUAAUUUACAGAAGUCUGAAUAUUCUUACUAAUUGCAGAUGUAUAUUAAGGAAAAUCUAUAGAAAUUGGGAUUACUUUAGUAAAAAUUUAUUGAGUUAAUACUAAAUCUAAAAGUAAGAUCAUUGUAGUGUACACAGAGAAACAUAAAAGUGAUGUUUGCGUUACCUUCUUACUUUGAUGGAUAUAGGGAAUUUCUUGGAAUAAUUUCAGAUGUUAUAGAUUUUUAACUAACAAGGUGAAAGUAAUUCAUUUUUUUAACCUCAAGUCUUUAAACAUUAAUCAUAGCAUUUGCAAUUUUGUUUAUCCUCUGUAUUUUUAUUUCUUCACAAUAAUUAAAUGUUAAAUGUAAUAAUUAAAUGUUAGAAUCAAGGGUUACAUAUUGGCCAGUUCAGAAUUUUUUUUUUAAUAUUUCCUUAAAUUUUAUUUAUUUAUUUAUAUAUUUAUUUACUUACUUAUUUAUAUUUUUAUUUUAGAGAGACAGAUUAUAAGCAGGGGAGAGGGGCAGAGAGAGAGAGAGAGACACAGUCUUAAGCAGGCUCCUUGCUCGCACAAAGCCCAAGGCAGGCUCGAUCCCAUGACCGUGAGAUUGUGACCUGAGCUAAAAUCAAGAGUUGGACGCUCACCUGAUAGAGCCAUCAAGAUGCCCUCCAGUUGAGAAUUUUUAGUUGGCCCUGCCUAGGUAUCAUAUGACUUUAACUUUGUAAAAAGUUUGUUCUUUUAAUAGUUAAAAAUGGAAAAAAAUAUAUAGGUAAUAGGAGACAGAAUAUGAAGCCAAGAUAUGACCAUUAUUGGCAUUAAAGUUACAUCUUUUGCAUGUUAAGUAAUAAUAAGGAAAUAGACAAGUGCCUAUAGGAAUAUUUUGUUAAUAUUCACUGAGGUGGCAAGUUCUUAUAAAGAUUUGAUGAAGAUUUGGAUUGCCAGUAAAAACAUAUGCCUAGUUAAUGCUUAACUGUUAACACUGUAAAGUUUUAUCUCUCUGAUAUGCUAAAAAAAAUCAUUAAUAUUUAUUUUGUUUUUCCUGCAGUAUCUAAUCUAAUGCUGUCCACAAAAUAAUAGUUAAAGAAAUUAAAAAAAAUAUUUAGUUGAUCACAGAUCUAUAGGUACCAUUCAGUAGAGGAACAAAUCAGAAUAACUGGUAAAAUUAUCUAGUUAUCAGAGGCUAACAACAUUUUUAAAAAAUUUUUCUAAUGUUUAUUUAUUUUUGAGAGAGAGAGAGACAGAGACAGAGCAUGAGAGGUGGAGGGGCAGAGAGAGGAGACACAGAAUCUGAAGCAGGCUCCAGGCUCUGAGCUGUCAGCACAGAGCCUGAUGUGGGGCUCAAACUCAGAGUGCAAGAUCAUGACCUGAGCCAAAGUCAGAGGCUUAACUGAGUGAGCCACCCACGUGCCCCAGGAUAACAACAUUUUAGGAGCUCAGUUUUACCUAUGGGAUUCUCUCAUAUAUUCCAAUAAAGGACUAUUUGUGAUAUAUGUUAUUCUAUUGCUAUUUUAAAUAAUGGUUCUUUGGAUGUUUAGCUUUAAGAAGGAAAAUCACCUAGAGUAAAAUAAAAGAUUUUACUGUUAUUACAUAAAGAGAAUUAUAUUGACAGAAAACAUAAUAAUGUAUUCAUUCUUUAAUGAUUUUUUUAUCAUCAAUUUGUUUUCUUUAACUGUUACUUUCAUUUUUAUUUCAUUCAUUCAUUCAUUCAACUAUAAUUUUCUAAGCUCCAAACACAUACAAAGAUAUACAGUGGCAGACAAGACAGACAAGAUUCCUGUCCUCACAGAUCUUACCCUCCUGGGAUGAAACAGACCAUAAACAAGUGCAAAAUACGUAAGAUGAUGGAACAGAGGUCCAGAAAUGGGGUAUAAAAAAGGCAACAUAAGGUGUUCUAGGAAGGCCUCUUUGACAUGUUAACAUUUGAUCUAUAACUAAACAGCAAAUGAGGAGGGCCUGGGUGGCUCAGUCAGUUGAGCGUCCGACUUCGGCUCAGGUCGUGAGAACUUAGGCUCAGGUCAUGAUCUCACAGUUCGUGGGUUCGAGCCCCACAUCAGGCUCUUUGCCGACCGCUUGCUCAGAGCCUGGAGCCUGCUUCAGAUUCUGUGCCUCCUUCUCUCUCUGCCCCUCCCCCACUCAUGCUUUGUCUCACUCUGUUUCUCAAAAAUAAAUAAAUGUAAAUUAAAAAUAAAUAAAUAAAUAAACAGCAAAUAAGAACCACUCGAAUAUUUGGUGCAAGAACAGCAAUGGUAAAAACCCUUUGUCUAAAAUAAUAAAAAACAAAACUGAUUGAAAUACAGUACUUAAGAGACAAACUGUCUGAGGUAAAGUUGGAAUGAGAGGUCAGAACAUGUGGGACUGCUUUGUCAUGGUGAGGAAUUUGGACUUUAUUGCAAUGGCAAUGAGAAGCCACUGGAGAGUGUUAAGAUGUAACCUGGUUUCCUUUCUGAAAAGAUCACUCUGGCUGCUCUGUAGAGAAUACAUUAGAGAGUACUGAGGAAACCAAGAAUGAAAACAAGGGAAGGCAGGUUUCUUGCAUUAUUGUGCUUUAUAUCAGUACUUUAUAUUUAUAAAGUAAUAUAUAUUAUUCUUGGUAUAUUAUUCUUGGCAUGUUGCCUCUCUAUAUUAGAAAUCUAUAAUGAUAGUUUAAGCCAGAGCUGAGGACAAAAUACUGAAAUACAGGCCUCUCAACUUCUAGAUCAAACAGUGUCAUUUUCAUUAAUUGUCAUUUAUUAAAUGCUUAUCUCACUCGAUAAUCUUAUAAUCCUAGGAGGUAGGUGUCAUUAUCUCAAUUUUAAAGAACAGCCUCAAGAGGUAAAGCAAGUUGGUUCAGAGUUGGCAUGGGAAAUCUGAGUCUCUCAUACUCCAAAGCCCUGGAUAUAGUGGCCAUACCUCUAUUUAACUACUUUAAUAUACAAUGCAUUCCUUUGUAAUAUAUAUUUUAACCUUUAACUGAUUUCUAUUUUGUUCUAAAUAAGCUCAUCUUGACUUAUUUCAAUACUUUUCUUAUUCUGAAUUGUCUGUUAAAAGUCUAUUUUAAGGAAAGUACUUGGGGGCACCUGGCUGGUUCAGAGGAGCAUGUGACUCUUGAUCCUGGGGUCAUGAGUUCGAGCCCCACCAUGGUUGUAGAGAUUACUUAAAUAAAUAAAACUUUAAAAAAAUAAGGAAAGUGGGGCGCCUGGGUGGCUCAGUUUGUUAAGCGUCCGACUUCGGCUCAGGUCACGAUCUCGCGGUAUGUGAGUUCGAGCCCCUGACUGCUCAGAGCCUGGAGCCUGUUUCAGAUUCUGUGUCUCCCUCUCUCUCUGACCCUCUCCCAUUCAUGCUCUGUCUCUCUCUGUCUCAAAAAUAAAUAAACGUUAAAAAAAAUUAAAAAAAAAAUAAAAAAAUAAGGAAAGUACUUAGGUCCAAUUUUACACAUAGAAGAGUAAAGAAUAAUUCUGAAAGCAGAAGUCCACGGUUGAUCUGACUAGGGUUUGCGUUAGGACUUGUUUAGGCAUGCUGUAAUAUUAAUUUUGUGAAACUCUAGUUACAGUAUUAAAUAACUACUUUUAUCCAAACGAAUGCCGGUCACUACAUUAAAAAAAGAUAAUUAAAAUCUCAGCCGAGGAAAUGAACACAUACAUCGGAAUCCUGCCUACGUUCUUUCAUGUUCUAACAGUUAUUAUUUAACAUUUGGUUUGCUUAUGAAAGCCAUUAAAUCACGACAAACCUAUGUCCUGAAAAACUCACAUUUAGAAAGACCAUUACUUUAGGAAAAAAUAGGUUUUUUUCUUAGAUAAUAUUUUUCUAGAAACAUGAACUUACUUCUGCUUUUUUACGAGCUUCCAUAGCUUUCAUAAGCAUCAUAUGUUGUCGUCUUCUCUCCCGUUCCUAUUAGGCCAGAUAAAAUUAGGAAAAUAACUCUAGUUAAUGGUUUGAUUUUGAAAUGAAAAAACUAAACAAAACAAAACAAAACUCAGUAUAGCAUGUUUAGCAUUUAUAGACAAGUCACAGUAAAUACUAAAUAUAAGACAAGAAUGGCCAGUCUGUGCAUGUUUUAGUUCAGGUUUAGAAAGCAAAUACAAGAACAAUCAAAAGCAAAAAGGUAAAGCAAUGAACAUGGAGACAGUGUAAACAGAAGCAUACAAGAUUUACUUAUGGUCAGUUGUGAUGCUCCUUCAAAAGCUGGCAGAACAAAAAGCAUAAUGGUUGGCUGGAACAGGUCAGUUACCUUACAUCUGCUAUUAGAAAAGCCACAAAUAUGUACUAGAGGCCAAUUAAACUAAAGGUUGUAUUGUUCUUAGAUUUUUAGAUCAGGCAGAAAUUUAUAAUCACUUUCGCUUCAUGGUUUUAGAAUUAGUUAUUUUUAUUUCAAGUAUGCUAUCAUUUUGCAAAUUCAAUAAGCCACCGACAAAUUAGAGAGAGUUUUUUAAAGUUUUUAUACCAAUUUAGUUAAACUAGUCGUGGUUCAUAUACAAGCACCAAUGAAAUGGGGUAUUCCUGGUUACUGAUGUCUGCCACCUGAUGCGCUAGGUAAGACCAUAAAAGCUGCACCAUGGGCUAAUAAAUGGAAUCUAAAAGGCACAGUAUGAAAACAAGGUAAGCACUAGUUUUGUUUGAUAAUCUCAUUUUAUUUUAAAAUAAAAAAUCAGAUAGUUAUAUAUCUAAUCAUUUCUUUUUGUUUAAAAGUAUUUGGUCCCCCCAAAGGGAUGUUUCUAAAAUUAUUUCUAAAAUUUGUCUAUCAAACCAGAAUAUAUUUCAUAUUCUCUCAUCAACCUAACUCAAAAUUCCCAUUGUACUCAAUGGCAGUUUUGCAUCUAGAAUUGAUGGGAGAAUAUGGGUCAUUAUCACAUCUAAUUGUAUAGUAAUCCAACUUUCAUUGUGACAUCAGUAAUGUAAAUUUUUAGACAGCAGCCUUAUAUAAGGCUUGCACAAAUCAAUUAAAAAUCCUGGAGAUGUAUCAUACUUCUUUAUAGACAGACAAGCAGAUGUAUGCAAUGCACUGUGCUGUAAAGCCAUGCAGCAGUAUGUAAUAUGACAGCAGCCAGUGCUACACUUUAUGCAUUGCUAUGACAACCAUAUCACAACCAAAUCACAAUGCGGUGUUAGAUGUACAAAAAUAAACAUACCCAUACCAUAUCUAGUCUAUGCCUCUCCAACUCCUGGUAGAAAGAGUUGGCACAACAUUAUGAAACAGAAAUCACAGAGUCAUGAAACCAAUUUUUAACCCCCCAAAAGACACCAAUACCAAAGCAAGGCAAUAAACUGUAAGAUGAAGGAAAAACUUAAGCAGGAAUUAAAUUGGAAAUUUUUAAGAAACUAUUUUGAAGAUUGUCCCCAAAUCAGAUUUAAGAAAAAUCAUAAAAUGUACAUUUUGACAAUUGCAUAACUGUAUGUAUACAGACCUGAUGCUUCAGAAGAACGGCUUGUUGUCUUCUCAUUUCUUUUUCCUUAAAAAUAAGAAACUUUUAAUAUGCAAUUUUUAGGGAAGAUUUAGAACACAGUACAAAUAUUAAAAGUUUCUCUUCUGAGGUUCUAUAGUCCUCCCUUAGGUCAAACCAUAUGAAAUUGCAAAUAUUUAAUCGUUUUUUACUUAUAUGGUGGCAAUUUCAUAUGGUUCUACAUAAUACAGAAAGAUUAUAUGACAGUAGCAAGGAUAUUAUUCAGUAGCCAUUUAAACUUAAAAUACAAUAACCUAAUAGCACAUUUCAAUAGCACAUUCACUGAACUGAUUAGCUAGAUGGUCAGAUCAUAUAAGAUACAACUGGCACGUGGACUUUUAAAAUUACUUUAAUACAUUAUGUAGUGCAACUUUCAAAUCCAGCUGAUUAGAACUCUGUCCAUUCGGAACAUAAAUUCCCAAAUAAACUCUAUAAUUAAAAGCAUCUAUAUCAUUUCUAUACACUAUCUAUGAAUGAAAGUAACAAGAGACUAAGAGAUCAGUUUCAGAUUUUCAUGCUCAGCUAUAAUGCAGGGUACUACCCCAAGGGGGUCAGGCUUAAUGCAAACAAUUCUAUGAAUAUCAUCAAUUUAAAUAUUCUUAUAAAGGUAAAAAUCCACAUGAUAUUAAUAUCUUUUUUCUAAAGAAAAAAGUAACAGAGUCCAUGUAGAAAAGGUAACAAAUAGUUCCCUGGCUUUAUAAGAUAUAAUUGUGUCUGCUCCUGGAACCAGUAGGGCCUCAUUUCACUCAGCAGUCCUUUCAGUAAUCAAUUAUGAGAAAAAGUGGAAGGUGAGGGGUGGAAUGUGUAUGUUUGUAUGUGUGUCUUGGGGAGGGUUGUGGGGGGGGGGGACAGCGUUCAACUCUCUAAUGCCUCACAACAGAAAAUCAAAACCAAAACAUUAUAGUAAUUAACAAUGGCUAAUUUUAUUAUUGGUAAGUAACAGUUGCUAAAAUUAGAUUUUUAUUUCUGUAGGCUUCUCACUUUUUAAUAGUUAAAAUAGUUGCUGGAUAUUAACCAAGAUAAACUUGUAAUCUAAGUAGAGAAUCAGAUUUGGAACACAAUUUAAAACAUAAACAUCAACAACACAAAAUAGCUUUGGGAAGAUCAUUCUGAUUCAGCAAAACUAUAUACAGGUAUUAUGUAAUAGUUUGCAUUUCUGAUUUGAUGUUUGCUACUUAAGAGCUCAAAGCAUCACAUAAAACCUGUAUAAGGAAAUAAAAAAACAUAUACAUACAAUAUACAUACAAUAAAAGCACACAUUAUACACAUAUUGUAUCUGUGCUAAACAUUUUAAGAUAAUUAUUUUGAGGAGAGCUAUUAUUUUUGUAUAAUUAAUACUGGUGUAAUAGCGUAUAGUUUUUAUUUUUGAAAAAUAAAAACUCUGGUUCUCAUCUAAACUAACCUUUAUUCGUUUUUCGGCCUCCAAUAAUUUGGCAUUUGCUGCUUCUUCCUUCUUUUUCUUUUUAGCCUGUGCAUGCAAAACAGGUCUCAAAGUCAUGCAACAGCACCACUACAACUUGAAAAUAAUCUCAGACUUAAAAAUGGAGCUACAUGCCUCACAGGUACAAAACAAUAUGUAACAUAUAUGUAGACAAUUACAUACCCCCCACCAGUUAACAUUACAUUUAACAUACUAAUCUCAUUUUUAAUGUAUAAUUCGCAUUAAGAUAUACAAAAAGUUUUAAAAUGUAUAAAAGUAUGUCAGCUUUUCCUCUUCAAACUCUGUUAAAAGUCUGAAAUAACUAAGCAUUGAUGUUAUUUUAACUUAACACUUAAACACAGAAAAAACCAUUUUGUAGCAUGUAUUGUCUUUUUUAUAGUUUUUAAAAGUAAAACAUGAUUGCUGUAGAAAGUUUAGAAAAUGGGGUGGAUUUUAACUGAUAAAAAAAUUACUUAAUGAAUAAAUCAGUAACAUAAAAAUGCACAUGUCUGUCCACUUUAUUUGAAAUUUCUUCAACACUUGAAAUUUGAGAUAAAUCUGUUCCUCAGAUGAUUUAAAUGACACAUUAAAUCUCAUUUUCCCUAGCUGUGCAAUGUGGUUAAUUAAAGGUUUUUUUUUUUUAAAUAGGAUGGAAACAUAUUUCAUGAAACAUAUUUUGAUUAUUAAGAUUGUGCCAUCAAAUUUGAGCUUCACAAUCUUAAAGUCUUUAACUAUCUUGUAGUUUUAUAACUAUCCAGUAGUUAUUAUCAGUUUACUUUAAGAUAAGCAUAUUUACUGUUUGGGAGGUUUUAAAAUUAAUUUGAAGGCGGUAAGGAAAUAUCUGUAUAUUUCUGGAUGGAAAAAAACAAACAGAAAACCUCAAUUAUCUGGGGUCCUCAGAAUUGUUUUACAUAGCAAUAGUUUUCUGAAUAGCUGAGAGGUUAUAAUAAUUUUAAACAUUAAAAGUUUAUUUUUACACUUAUGGAUGAAAAUAAUUUUGAGACCUAUGCCUGUUUAGACAUAGUACCACUAAACAUAAUUUAGCUUUUUCUUGAUGACUCAGGACAAUUGUUCUGAACAUCAGUUAUUAUACUACACAGUUCAAUAGAGUAAUGUAUUUUGGCCAUUAAGGUGUUGAAAAUUGCUUGCUAUUCAACUAAAAAUUACAUGCUGUUGCUAGGUUUUUUAAUUCCUAUAUAUGCGGGUUGGAGUUUUUCUGCAUUUUUCCCUUGCUGUCUUUUGGCUAUUACUUCUGCUGUUGCCAACAUAUGUCUUUAGCCCUAUUCCAGUAGCUUCAGGGGAAGGAUAUAUUAGAAACCAGAAAAUCAAGCUAGUUAAACUGUUUCUACAUUUAAAAUUUACUUUUACUGGGGCGCCUGGGUGGCGCAGUCGGUUAAGCGUCCGACUUCAGCCAGGUCACGAUCUCGCAGUCCGGGAGUUCGAGCCCCGCGUCAGGCUCUGGGCUGAUGGCUCAGAGCCUGGAGCCUGUUUCCGAUUCUGUGUCUCCCUCUCUCUCUGCCCCUCCCCCGUUCAUGCUCUGUCUCUCUCUGUCCCAAAAAUAAAUAAACGUUGAAAAAAAAAAAUUAAAAAAAAAAUUUACUUUUGUAAUGUUUUAUUUCUAAAUUAAAAAUAAAUAUCUAACUAUAUGUUCUAAUGAGUUUUCUAAAAGUAAAGAAUAUGAGUUUUAGCACAUGAACUUUAUGACGACUAUAUUGUCUGCUCAGAGGUUUCCUCUUUAUUUUGUCUUAUUUUCUGGGUUUUUAUUAGACUAAUUAGGAUUAGAUUAGCUUGCUACUUAAAUAAGGUUCAGAUAAGAUCUUACUCUGCGUUACUUUUAAAGAGAAUUUCUGCUGAAUGUAUUAAUUUGUAUGAGUGAGAGAAUAUGUGGGUAAAAUUUUUAUUUUUGCAAACUUUAAGAUAUAUUAUAUCAAAUUUAAGAGCUCUACCUCUAGAAUUUGCUGGGCUCGAAGUUCUUUUUCCAUUCUGAUUUGUUGUAUUCUUUUAAUUUUUUCCUGUAGAAAAAGUUAUAAUUUAAGACAAUAAAUAUGUAGAUGAACACAUUUAAGCGGAAUGAAAUUAAUUUAAGGUAAGUACACAUUUACCAAAGGUUGCCCAUGCUGGAUCUAAAACUUAAUGAUUUAGCUUAGCAUCACAAAUAUAUAUAAUAUAUAUGUUCAUGUCUUAAUAGGAUUUUACAAAAUUUCUCAAAACAAUUUAUAAAAUACAAAUUCUAACUAAGUAUAUAGAAGCCAGGUAAACCAAGGUAAUUAAACUCAUUUAGCCUGUUUGCAAGCAUAAGUAAUACCUACUUUGAAAUAAAUAUAGGUCAGAAUGAUCAGAAAAAAUAAUACAUCAGGAAUCAGAAAACUUAAAGCUAGUUCUGAGUUACUGUCAUUCAUUACAUGAUCUUGAACAUAUAACUACUCUUGUAUAAAACAGGGAGAAGUGCUUACCCUUUACUCACUAUGUCAUGACACAAUUACAAUUCUUAAAAAAGUGUAUAGUGCUAUACAAUUGUAAUAGAUUAACAAUUUUUUCCAUACCAUAAUUUCUUAUUUCACAUAGUGAAUAACAUGAUAACAUCACAUUACAAUAAGCUAAAUUCAGAAGUAAUCUAACAUUAUUUUAAAAUGGGUCAACUAGGGGCGCCUGGGUGGCGCAGUCGGUUAAGCGUCCGACUUCAGCCAGGUCACGAUCUCGCGGUCCGUGAGUUCGAGCCCCGCGUCAGGCUCUGGGCUGAUGGCUCAGAGCCUGGAGCCUGUUUCCCAUUCUGUGUCUCCCUCUCUCUCUGGCCCUCCCCUGUUCAUGCUCUGUCUCUCUCUCUCUGUCCCAAAAAUAAAUAAACGUUGAAAAAAAAAAUUAAAAAAAAAAAAUAAAUAAAAUGGGUCAACUACAAUUUAACAUUGUAAGGAAUAAUUCACACAACAUACUAGGUAUUCACAUUGUAUAAAUUUAAUGUUCUAGUUAUUGUUUUAGAAUUCAGUGAUCAUGUAAAUUUUGAUAAGAAUUUUACAGCUGAUUUAAAAUGAUGCCAUAAGCUAUAAGCACAUUGUUAACAAUUUCAUGUUCACAAAUCCCUUUGAAAUUCCCAAAUUGGCCCUGAUAAGAAUACGUAGUUUAAAAAAACCCAAAAAAACAACAACAAAAAAAAACCCCACCAACCCCAAUUGUCCUGCUUGCAAAUUGCACUGUUCCUAGGAUUUCUAGAACCAACCCAUUUUACACUGCUUUCUAUUACAAUACCUACUCCAAUCUCUGGAUGCUAGUGUACCUUUUGAAGCUAUGCUUUAACAUGUUGUUUUUUUUUUUUAUUUUUUUUUUUCAACGUUUAUUUAUUUUUGGGACAGAGAGAGACAGAGCAUGAACGGGGGAGGGGCAGAGAGAGAGGGAGACACAGAAUCGGAAACAGGCUCCAGGCUCUGAGCCAUCAGCCCAGAGCCUGACGUGGGGCUCGAACUCACGGACCGCGAGAUCGUGACCUGGCUGAAGUCGGACGCUUAAGCGACUGCGCCACCCAGGCGCCCCUAACAUGUUGUUUUUUUAUUAAAUUUCUUUUUUUUUUAAAUUUUUAUUUAAUUUAUUUAUUUAACUUACGUCCAAGUUAGUUAGCAUAUAGUGCAACAAUGAUUUCAGGAAUAGAUUCCUUAAUGCACCUUACCCAUUUAGCCCAUCCCCCCUCCCACAACCCCUCCAGUAACCCUCAGUUUGUUCUCCAUAUUUAUGAGUCUCUUCUGUUUUGUCCCCUUCCCUGUUUUUAUAUUAUUUUUGUCACCCUUCCCUUAUGUUCACCUGUUUUGUCUCUUAAACCCCUCAAAUGAGUGAAGUCAUAUGAUUUUUGUCUUUCUCUGACUAAUUUCGCUUAGCAUAAUACCCUCUAGUUCCAUCCACAUAGUUGUGAAUGGCUGCUUUAACAUGUUUUUAAACUUACUCCUUUUUUUCCUCAUACUAAUGUUAUUGAUUCCCUGCAGGGCUCUCUACUGCAGGAAAAGGAGAUUUCUGAAAUUACUGUUCUGAUUUUAGAAGACUGAUCACAUUCCAUAAUUUUGUUUUUGGUGAUCCUACUUGGUAUUGAAUAUUAAUUAUAGCUUGCCAAACAUAAAAACCCAAGAGUAUCUUUUAUUUCAUUCAAGUCUUAGAGAAGGCUGUACUUGAUCCACACUUGAUAUAUUUAUUUAGUUUAGAACUUGAGACCUAAGUAAAGCACACUUUUGAUUUAAUUUUCCUGCUCUUGUUAAUCAUAAGGUUAUAAAAUGGUAUAUUCUCAAGUCAGCAAAAGUGAUUUAUUAUUUUCUUAGGCACAGAGAUAGGUAUGGAAUCUUGGGCUUAAGUUCAACUCAGAGCUUUAUCUUAGCUGUCCAAGUGAUUCAUAUAUAUGUACAUAUAUUUGGUAGUGCUGUCAUUAGCAUUAGCAGAGAUAAACCUUGUUUAUAAAUUAUUAUAAUAUAAGUUCACCUUAUAAUAUUGAGUACCCAAUCACUGAACUGGGCACUUUACUUAAAAUAUCUUAAUGAUCAUUAAAAAAAAAAACACAUGGGGCGCCUGGGUGGCUCAGUCGGUUGGGCGUCCGACUUUGGCUCAGGUCAUGAUCUCGCGAUCCGUGAGUUUGAGCCCCGCAUCAGGCUCUGUGCUGACAGCUCAGAGCCUGGAGCCUGUUUCGGAUUCUGUGUCUCCCUCUCUCUGACCCUCCCCCAUUCAUGCUCUGUCUCUCUGUCUCAAAAAUGAAUAAACGUUAAAAAAAAUUUUUUUUUAAAACACAAAAACAAACAAAAAACAACAGGGGCCCCUGGGUGACUUGGUCAGUUAAGCAUCUGACUUCCGCUCAGGUCAUGAUCUCACGGUUCAUGGGUUCGAGCCCCACAUUGGGCUCUGGGCUGACAACUCAGAGUCUGGAUCCUGAUUCGAAUUAUUUGUCACCCUCUCUCUCUCUGUCUUUCAAAAAUAAAUAAAUGUAAAAAUAUUUUAAAAAAACAAAAACAAAAACACAGGAGUUGCGGUUAUCUUUUUUUUUUUUUUAACCUAAGAGAAAAUUGAAAUUGUUGGAGGGUAAAUAUUUUGCCUAACAUCAAAUACUAAAUAUAGAGACCUGGUUAGAUUCCAAUGCUUUUGCUCCUUCUGCUUCAUAAUAAUGCUUCUGCAAGUCUCUUGAAAAUUGCCUUGAGGACUAUAUGCUGAUAUAUUGGGGCCUACUAGGUGGAAUAAAGAAUCCAGACGAUAAGAAGCAUGUGAUACCAUUUAAUCCUAGAUCUUAUGCUGACUUUAAAAUAGGCAUUGUGACUAUGUGAGUAAACCCAUGCUAGACUUUGAUUCACUUUGUUGGCAACAACGAAUAAGUCAAGUGGUAUUAAAAGACUAGCCUCAGACAAAUAUCUUGAUGAAUAUCUAAGGUUAGUUCAUUUGUAUUCAUGUUGCUGGAACCUUGGGACCCCAAUGCUUUUUUGAUGAGCAGCAAAAACUAUGUAGGCUUAAGGUGUAGCCACUUUAAGAGCUUAGGAACACAAAACUGAACUUCAGAGGCUGAUGAAAUCUGGUGCGUCUCUAGGCAUUAGGAAAUAGGAUAAGCUGUAAAAAAUUAGUAUUUCACUUAAAAUAAAAUAUAGACUAUUUUUACAUAUACAUGGAAUAUAUAAUAAAUAUUUAUGUUAUUUUGAUAAAUAUAUAUACAGUGCCUUUAGCAGUCACAAUCAACAAACUAAGGAAUGAAUCUGAGUUUACAAUUGACCACAUUAAAUUACAGUGAGGAGUAUACCAUAUAGUUUGGUGUUUAAUAUCUGUCUCUUAAAAAGUGAACAUCUGUUUGUGCCAGGCAUUGUGGUAUAUACGCUACAUUCCAAGAUCUCGUUUAAUCAUUAGAUAAUGAGGUUAUUUCCUUUUACCAUGGAGGAAAUAGAGACAAAGAGGAUAAUUCAUCUAAGAUGACAAAAAUAUUAUGCAGCAGAGCCCAUAUUCAACUCUUGGCUGCCUGACUACAGACUAAGUUCUGACUCCCCAUUCCACAUCAACUGUCUCUAAUCCCACAUCACAUCCAACCCAAGCCAUUUAUUUAGCAGCCAUUUAUAUAAUAACACAAUUUACUUCAUUUCAUACUCAGAAAAAACUACUUGCUGUUCAAAAUAUUAAAUGAAUAGUAGUUCCCUCAUUUCCUUUCUGCUUUAAUGAUUAUACGAAUACAUGGAGAUGGGAGAGUAGCUCACAUCCUCACAUCUUAAAUGCUCAAUAUCUUGUCAUGCCAUUGCAUGAAUUCUUAAUUCACUUAUAAAAAUUUAAAAAUCAUUUCACCUACCUGUACUUAAUUUUGAAAACUACAUAGGGGAGAGAGAUUAUAGAUAGAAGAUAGAAUGUUGGAUAUGUUGAAAUAGUGCAUUCUUGGUUCUGUUUUUUUUGUUUUGUUUUGUUUUUGUUUUUGUUUUUUUUUGCAGUAAGAAUACUUAAGCAUUCAGAAGCAGUGGAGACAAACCUUAUUCUAUAAACUUGAAUUUAACUUUCUAUGUAUAUUUUAUGUAUUUCAGAAGAAGAAGCUUCUCUUACUAAAAUCUAAACAUUUAAGCAAUAGCCUUCAUUUAUUGAUAAUUAAUUUUAAAAGUUUGAAACCUGUUCAGAUGUCAACCUAUAUUCAAAGUCUAUCAGGAUAUUAAAAAUACUUACACAAAUCUA